UACGUAGGCAGCGAGCGUUGUUCGGAGUUACUGGGCGUAAAGAGUGCGUAGGCGGUUUUCUAAGUUUGGUGUGAAAUCCCCCGGCUUAACUGGGAGGGUGCGCCGAAAACUGGAAGGCUUGAGUAUGGGAGAGGUAAGCGGAAUUCCUGGUGUAGCGGUGAAAUGCGUAGAUAUCAGAAGGAACACCUGCGGUGUAGACGGCUUACUGGACCAUAACUGACGCUGAGGCACGAAAGCGUGGGUAGCAAACAGG
rnacentral:rRNA from 1 species